GGAAGGGCUCACAAAGGGCAGCAGCAGUGGCUGCUCUUUCAUCUGUUCUGACUGCUGAAAAGAAAAAGGCUAAUGAUUCCUCUCCUCCAUCUAACAGCAGUCCCCCACCAGAGAGUAACGCUCCAGUGGCAGCUGAAGAAAAGAAUGAUGAUGUCUUCCAACAAAUAGAGAGUCCUGAAGAAGUCUUGGAUCUUAAGGAGCCAGCGGAAACCACUCCUGUAUCGAAAAACA
rnacentral:misc_RNA from 1 species